rnacentral:rRNA from 1 species
CUUCCGUAGGUGAACCUGCGGAAGGAUCAUUACAGAGUCUCUGCCCUCACGGGUAGACCUCCAACCCUUUGUUUUUAUACCUUUGUUGCUUCGGCAGGCCGUCUAGGCUUCGGCCUAGCUAUGGGCUCCGGCUCGUAAGCGCCUGCCAGAAGACCAAUAAAUUCUGAAUAUUAGUGUCGUCUGAGUAAAAACUUAAUAAGUUAAAACUUUCAACAACGGAUCUCUUGGUUCUGGCAUCGAUGAAGAACGCAGCGAAAUGCGAUAAGUAAUGUGAAUUGCAGAAUUCAGUGAAUCAUCGAAUCUUUGAACGCACAUUGCGCCCUUUGGUAUUCCGAAGGGCAUGCCUGUUCGAGCGUCAUUUCAACCCUCAAGCUCUGCUUGGUAUUGGGCCUCGUCUUAAUGACGGGCCUUAAAAUCAGUGGCGGUGCCAUGUGGCUCUAAGCGUAGUAAUUUUCUCGCUAUAGACGUCUAGUGGAUACUUGCCAGCAACCCCCAAUUUUUUAUGGUUGACCUCGGAUCAGGUAGGGAUACCCGCUGAACUUAAGCAUAUCAAUAAGCGGAGG